rnacentral:lncRNA from 1 species
CUGCGGAUCCUGGACGUCACCCGCUCUGGCCCGUGCGUGCGGCGGGUGAGUGGCCCCGGGGUCUCCGCGGCCGAGGCGCUGGGACGCCCUUCCUGACAGCCGGUCUCCCGGCACGUAGCGCUCGCCUGACUCAGCGCUGAGUCACCGCUCCCGCGGACUCCCGCUUCGCCCUGCACAGCCAGAGGCUGCCGGGCUCCGUGCACGCCGAGGCCGAGCCCUCAGUGCUGCAGACCGGUCUCUGCGCUUCCCGGAGCAGCGCAGGGUUUACAGCUUUUGAAUCCCGACCAAGCCCAGCACUAACUUCCUGCGUUGUUUUCUUUGCCUUAAGGGCUGACUAGUCUAGGGAUCAAAUUCUUCCAUCGAAGCUUGUUGGCGCAAAUCCCGGCUUUGUCCUUGAACAGUGACUUUGAGAUGAUCUUCGUUUGGAUUUUUUUAAUACUUCCGCGGUUCCAAACUUCUGUCUUAUUUAUGCCCUCCGUUUCCUAAGGUUAUCUUUUCAGUGUGUUUGGUAACUAAUCUUGUCAUAAAGCCACACUGCGGUGACGCAAGUCAGGUUGGAAUCUGGCAUGGUGUACAGGCAGUGACUUACUGUAAAAUCCAGGGCCUUCAUCGCGACAUCCUAUCUGUCAUCUCAGGCACUGAUUAGCUUCCUUGCCCUUGGAGAGGUCCCGGGGAUUUAGAAGGCCUGUUGAAAUCUGUCUUUAUAGCGGCCAUGUUUCUUGCUUCCUCCUCGGAGUUUAAAAUGAAGAGAACGAUAGAUAAGCAUUUCUGCAAACGUAGCUUGGACCACCUGUCCCAGAGCACAAUUUUACUCCAAACUGCAGCUGCAGAAUGUCCUGAAUAAAACUAGAAACCGGCCACCUGCCAGUGAAACACGUGAUCCGCAAAGCCUACCAGAGGAUAGGAGGAAAGCAGUUUUCCUAGACUGAACACACAGACCACGUUGGUUCUGGUGUUCUUAUUCAUCUUUCUGUCUAAAAUACUGGAAAGGUAAAAUGCGGGGCGGCCACAUAAAAUAUCAGCGUACUGUUAUAGUGAUAGCCAUUUACAUCGCUGUUGAUAUGGUAGAGAUGGAACCGAAGGCCUGAUGCUCUAAUCAGACACUGCUACACAGCUAUAGCCUCAGCAGGAAGUUGUUCCGACUUCCGAUCCCUGGACAUUUUCAUUUCUCUGGGAAACUCUUCCAGCUUCAUCUUUGCUAGCAUUGGAGCAAACUCCCCAACAAGCCCUUGUUGGUCCAAGUAGAGUUCUUGGACCAGCAACCCAGCAUCACAAAGUAGCUCAUAAGAAGCACAGGCUCUCUGAGCUGCUGACGCAGCAAAGACGGAGGAGUGCUUGCCUAGUAUGCUUGAAGACUGGAGUGGAGGAAGGGAGAACAGAAGUUCAAAAUCAUCCUCCGCUGCGUCCUUAGAGCCUAGAAUCUCAGACUCCAUCCAAAAUUGGCAUGUUUACGAGGUCUCUUUAUAUCGUGAACUUGGGAAGAACUGAUCAGUGGGCUGGCAGAGGACCAUGGGGAUGAGCCAGUCUUCUGUUUCCCAUCUGAACAUGAUGUAAAACUCUCAGCUCUUCCAGCUCUGCCUGCCUGAACGCUGCCAUGCUUCCUGCCUAGAUAAUAACGGAUUGAACCUCUAAACCUGGCAGUGGAAUGGAGUCAACCAGAGUGCAUAGUUAGAGAUGUGACCCAAGCCAUUUGGAGGAGACCAGAAACUGGAACAAGAAGCUGUAAUGUUGAAGUUGUCUUGGAGACCCCAAGAUGUUCGAGGUGCCAGGGCUGUGGUAUACCUGCUGAGGAAAGCUGCUAACAGCAAGUGGAACCAUCCAAAGAGAACUGUGCUGCAGUCAACAAAGCAGAAAGGAGUUGGACAUUAGACACGGAGGUGAUGAGUUUGGAGUUUGUCCAGCUGAAUUUUGGUCUUGCUUUGGUCUAUUAUUUCCUCAUAUGAAGUUUUGAAAUGGUAAUGUAUAUCAUGUGAUGUUGGAGGCACGACAUGGUUGAAAUGCUCCCACCACUGUGGAUUCUCUUCUUCUCUGCCAUGAUAGGCUGUAAGCCAGAAUAAACCUCUUCUUCAAGGUGCUUCUGUCAAGCUCUGUGCCACAGCAAUGAGAAAAGUAACUUACAGAGUUGGUAAGGACCAGGGUCUGCCGUGAGGAACAUGAAUUCAAUAUCUGCGGGGAACUGGUUUGUGUGCUACGUUUUACAGGACUCUCAGGCGAUAUAACAAUGUAGCUUUUGCAUUUUCUCUGGGACCCUCCGCAGACAGGAAGGGUUCUGGACACUGCUGCCUUUCACUCUAAUCCAGCCCAUGUCUUUCCUGAAAGGCUUCAAGAAGUUGUGUAUGUUCUGUUAUGAAGUAAGGAUGCUGGAGGUCAGGCAACUUGGGCAAGAGAAGUUAAUUCUCUGUAAAGAAGCUAACGACUCAAUGAAGGCUUCCACUGCCAUCACAAAUUGUUGAGAUAAUUUGACGGAGGGAACACGGACCUGAAAAUGGCGGGGUAAACUGAGGGACUGCUGUCUUAUGUGGAGCUCCACGAAAAGGGAAGAACAAGAAGAUCGUAUCGGGCACAGUGAGCAACAGGGUAGCCCCGUGACAUAUUUUGACGUGUAGAACGAGUGAGAAGACGUCAAUGCCUGCGCAAGUGUCUUCCUCCCUCCCUGUUGGAAGCUUACGCUGGAUCUCAGACAGAACCUGGACCUUCAGUGGAGCGUGGCGAUGCGUGUGACAUGCACCAAAGCAUGCUCCUGACCAGUUAGACCGAUCAUUACAAGCCACGAGGAACAAGCUGGUAAGCAGUGCUCCUCCAUGGUUUCUGCGUCAAGUCCUACCUCCAGGUUCCUGCCCUGAAUUCCUUCAGUGACAGACUCUUACUUCAAAAUUUAAGAUGAAACAAACCCUUUCCUCUCCAGGUUGUUUUUAGCCAUGGUGUUUCUCAUCACAAUAGAAUUCCCAGCUAAGACAACCUGUAAGCUGAACACACCAUUUCCUCCAACACCAUUUGCGUUGUAUUCCAGCCACAUAAAAGCAAACAAGGACAGAAAAUUUUGAUUUCUACCUGGAAUUAAGACAGAGUAGUAGGAAUGAAUAAGGAGUGAUACACCUGGCAAGAACAGCUCAGGGAGAGCUCAAAUGAUGGCAGAGAGGCAAGGCAGAGACCAUAGCAUGGCUGGAUUGCUAAAAAAGUGUUUAAGUGCAUCAAAAUAUGCACUGGACUCAGGUGCUCACCUAAUGCAGUGCAACUGUAAAAGAAAGGUGGGAGGGGGUCUCUUAUGUAGAGAUUGUUGGGGUUCAUCUACAUAACAUUUAGCUCAAUACUAUAUGCUUAGUUACUCUAACAUAUAGAUACCCUGUGACUGAGUAGCUAGCCAAAUGGACUAUUUUGUCCACAGAGUGCUGCAUGAAAGUUUCCAUUCAUUCACCCUUUCUCAGUCCACUUGCAAGUACUGAAGCCUUCUGAGAACCUCAGAGGUGAAGCUGCAACCAAAUGGGAGGAGCCAGUUGCUCCAAGAGUAAGGUACCGUGUGAAGCCACCGAAAGCUGAGUUUUGGUUGUCAAUGCUUCUAGCACUAGUUGUCAUAAAUAAUGUAGUCUCUCUUUUGGUGUGCUGUUUUCUUUUACACUAUUGUAAAAAGAAACUAGAGGAUUGCAGAAAAUAAAAGUAUUACCCACUUUAGAUCUAAGAGGGAAAGUCACUAUUCUUCAUUGGAGGAACCAUACAGAGCUCUACAUGUAUUGCUGUGGCACCAAGAGUCAAGUUGACCAAGUAUAUGGAGCGUUUACUAUUGCCAUUGACGGUUGUCUUCUUUGAACGUGACAAACUUUGAAAGCGUGCCUGAGAGGAGCACAGACAGCAAGCAUAAAACACUGAAGACAAAAGGCCUGACAUCUUCAUCAUCAAACUCCUGGGACUCUUCAUCGGCUAUCAGGGACCCCGUUGGACCCCCAAGUGGAGCAUGCCUCCAUUGUUUGUGAGUUCUGUCUCAGCUCAGAGUGGAUGGGCGCACAGUUCCAGGGGAGCAAGGAUGUGUGCAACAGAAACUAGUGUUAGCCACACUUGUUCAUCUAGGUGGAUCAUCUCCAGAGACUGAAGAUAUCAGCAGGGCCUAGGAUAUCUGGGCGGCUCCUUCUCCUUCUGCUCCCAGCCCCAAAUCUAACCCUUCAAUAAGGUUACUGGGAAGAAGGUUAAGCCCAUUUAUUUACUUUCUGUAGAUGACUGGUCCAUUUCCUCACACACUCACAAAUCACUCUGUAAAUUAACACAUCAUGAAUACUUAAACAGUGAAUCUGAUUUUUGGAGACUUGUCAAAAACAUGUUUAAAAAAAAACUGCUAAACUAAAAAUCAAAUUUUGACUUAUGAUAUUUCCAAAGAAAAUCAGCUUCUGAAAUGAACUUGUGAGAAAAUAACCAACCAGCAACCCUCUGUCCUUCCCUGGUUAAUGAAACAGGGGAGGCUGCUGUGGGAAGAGGAAAUCAUCCGGGAACUCCAGACAGGGAAGAAGGCUACAUUCUUACCGAGUGGCUUGCGUUAGCAUUGCUGUGGCCUCGGCACACUGUUACAUUGGGGAGAAGAUGUUAAAGUAGAUCUUCAAUGGUUCUUGCUCUUUUGCUGCAUACCUCACAAUCAUGCAUUGGAAUAGACAGAGGCAGCACUAGGAAAUGUCACCUAUACUUUUCAAUUACAAAGGACAUGAAUUUCAGAGGGAGUUGUUAUCCAUAAAGAUAGUAGUAGAACAUUCUAAAUUACUUUUACCUUAAACUUUAAUCUAGAUUGGGUUCAACAACUCAUCUGGUAAAGAAAGUCAUUUGCCACCAAGUCUGACAAUAUAAGUUUAAGUCUUAAAACCCCAUACACAAAAAACAAACAAACAAAUAAACAUAGCAGAAGGAAACUGACACACGAAGCCUGGCUAGAGCAUAUAUGAGAUCUCAAAGCCCACCUUCACAGUGACACACUUCCUCCACCAAGACUACACCUACUCUAACAAGGCCACACUUUCAAAUACCACCACUCCCAUGUGCCAAGCAUUCUAACACAUAUGUCUGUGGGGAAUAGCCCUAUUCAAACCACCACCCACUCUCUUGACCUCUUGGUUGGUGGCUCCUCUCUUGUUCUGCUUGCCCCUCCUUAUCUUCCUCUCUUACCCAUCUCUCCAUGACCCAGUUCAGUCUGGACUCUGUCAGAUGUCUCUGGCUAUUUCCCCCCCUCAUAUCUAUGAUAAAACCAUCUCCUCAACCAUAUCUAGAAGUGGCCAUGUCCUCAUUUUUCAUUUACAGACAAGUUUCAUUUUGUUCUUGAGAGCAAAGACAGUUCAGUAUGGUUGGAACUGGAGAGAAGUUAAAUGUAGGAAAGACGGAGGAAGGAGAGUAGAUGAGGCUGGAGAAGAGGCAGGGAGGACUCAAAUGCAGUGGCCGAGGCUGGGGAAAGGUGGCUUUCAGGAGUGCAGAGGUGAGGUCAACCUGGAUUAGGUAUAACAUGGGGUUGGAAGUAGAAUGUUUGAGUGAGAAUUCAUGAAGAGCAAGAGCAAUACUUACAAGUUCAAAAUAAGGAGAUUAAAGGACACAGAUAAGUCCUAUUUUGCACCUGUUGGGUUUGAGUUGUCUUUAUUGUAAUAUCCAUCAAGGAUGUGCAACCAUGCAUAAAGAUCUGGACCAGAGAUUUGAAGUUUAGGGAUCAUAAAUUUGUUGGUGUUGCCCUGGGAUAGACUUUUGUUAAGAAGAGAAUUAAGCACAACAAGCAAAAUCCAAAGCUACAUAGGGAUAGUGACAUAAAAAUUAUCUAGAGUUCUUAGACAUAGUUGGGAGGAGCCAAAAGUUAGGUAUAAAGUAAUAUAAUUUAUGAUUUUGAAAAUUACCUGUAGCCUCCCCCAGCCUUGAGCAGGCUGGCUCAGACCUGUUCUGCCACUGUGAAUGAGACCACCUAGGGUGGAGUCUUCAGACCUAGAUAGGUCUAUUGUUCUGCCACCUGCACUCUUCUCCAAGAUGCUGGUACUCCGGAGAGGUUGAAACCUGUCUUCCUGAGAUAAGCAACACCCUGGACCAAGUGCUAACAGGAUGGCGACAAAGCAUCAAGAGCCUGGCGUGGCGGGGGAUGGGCCUUCCCCCUUUAUAAGCUUAGACUCUUAAGUAAACAUUGUGCCUUGAUCAGA